CCGCCGGCGACCGGCGCACGGGUGAGUAACACGUAUGCAACCUGGCCGUGACAGAUGGAUAACCGGGAGAAAUCCCGCCUAAUACAACAUAAUGCCGGGAGGGGACAUCCCCUGCCGGCCAAAGGGGGCGACCCCGGUCACGGAUGGGCAUGCGGCGCAUUAGGUAGUUGGUGGGGCAACGGCCCACCAAGCCGACGAUGCGUAGGGGUUCUGAGAGGAAGGUCCCCCACAUUGGAACUGAAACACGGUCCAAACUCCUACGGGAGGCAGCAG
rnacentral:rRNA from 1 species